ensembl:lincRNA
CUCUUCAUCCGGUUGUAGCAGGAUGUCCCUCCUUAGGCCAUGAGUAACUGCUGAGGCAGGUGUGGUUUGGUUACAGUUACAAUCUUGGAGGAAAAGUUUAAUUUUGUUCUUUAGAUAUCUGGUGAUGUUUUUUCAAAGGCAUAUAUAAGGGACACCACAGACCACUGAUGUGUGCUUUCAACUAUUAAUUUAUAAGAAGUGUUUUUGAGAUAACCAGAAAUAGAGGAGUCAGAGUGGUCUAAAGGGAAAUGACUCAGGCAUCCUUUUGAAAAGAUACCAGCUAAUGAAACCGUUAUCUUUCUGACUGGCCCCAGGCUGAGGUUUUGCCAUGAGAGGUCUUUCAGUGUUAAUUUAACCAGGACAGUUGCUGUUUUAAAAGGGUUUGCUAGCCGGGCUGCCAGAUCUGACAGAAAGAGUAGCUGCCUCCCCUGAUGUGAUUUAAAGGGCAGUGAAAGUUCAGCCAGCCCCUGAUCUCCUCCCCAGUGGCCUUACUUCACUUGGAAAUGUUCAUGAUUAGAGAUACUCCAUUGGGCAAAGGCCUUGUCUCCAGAAGACACUAAUAAACAAGACUAUAUUUUAUCUGAAUUUAUCAUUAAUGCCCUUUCUGAAUUCAUGAGCAGAUGAGUGAGUUAGGCAACCAGCUGGAGCAAAGCCUGAUGAUUGAGACACGAGAUGGGUACACUUAUGAUGAGAAUGUCUGAAGCAAGAUCAAGAGAAACGCCACCUGGAACACAGCUGUGACUUGAUAAACACGUGAAAUAUUCUUUGGUGUGGUGAGGGGAAAACAGAUUUCUCAAAGGACACGCACCAUGGUGUAUGAGAGGACACUGGAGCCCAGCCAGCAUCUGACAUGCUGAAAUCAAAGUGCAGGGAGGCAUUUGGGAUUUGUGUUCCUGGCAACUUGAGAGAGGAAUGGAGGAAGUCAAAGGGAGGAAGAGGAGCUGAUGUUGCAGUCCAAGAGGAAACAGGAGUGAGGGCAGGGAGCCCAGAAGAGGGUCAGGGUGAAGAUGGGUGUGGGGAAGGCAGAGCAAACCAGCUGCUGCUGUCAACCCGGACCUAUUUCCUCGAGCUCUGGGAGCCCUCCCAUCCCUGCUCUCAGCAACAGUGAUGCUGCCUUCGGGCGGCUGUGCAGCCAACCCACACUGAGUGAUAGCUGUCCCUGUCAUUUUCUUAAAUGUCACCAGUGAAAGAGACAUUUCGACCUCCCUGGAGUACACAUACUCCACGUGUGGAUAAGUGGACACUUGGUUCCAUUUUCACAGCUUCCAAAAAUUGGUCACAGAUGACUCACAAUUGUGUCAACUACCCUGGUAUAAGAAGCCAUAGAUGGAGGUAUACAGAAAUGAUUUUUUUUUAAAUGUAAUGUCCUUUCUAUGAGGCAGUAAAACAUCUUUCCUGCCAUUAGGAGAAAUGUGUUCUUUGAAUUAUUUUCACAGCCAGAAAGGCAGACCUGUGAAAGGCUAUUUGUACUGGAUAGUGCUCUGCUUUCAUGGAUUUUAUUCAGAAUUGUCCAUUCUUGGAAAUGUUGGGGAAAGAGAAAAGAAAAAGAGAACAAAUAUAUGUUGAAUUAGUUAGUGUAAAUUAUAAUUCAUAAGCUGCAGUGUCCAAGCAAUAUUACCUUCCACAUAUUCUUGAAUAGCUUGGUUCCUAUUUUUGAGCCCCUGCCUGGUGCCAGGAACUUGUUUUCAGCUAAUUCAGGGUUUCUGCCCCCAUUUUCCUUGGAGGAAUAUCUAAGUUCUUUGGGGAUAUUGCUGGUGUCAAGC